GACGAACGCUGGCGGCGUGCCUAAUACAUGCAAGUAGAACGCACAGUUUAUACCGUAGCUUGCUACACCAUAGACUGUGAGUUGCGAACGGGUGAGUAACGCGUAGGUAACCUGCCUGGUAGCGGGGGAUAACUAUUGGAAACGAUAGCUAAUACCGCAUCAUAUUAAUUAUUGCAUGAUAAUUAAUUGAAAGGUGCAAUUGCACCACUACCAGAUGGACCUGCGUUGUAUUAGCUAGUAGGUGAGGUAACGGCCCACCUAGGCGACGAUACAUAGCCGAGCUGGGGAGGUGGUCGGCCACACUGGGACUGAGACACGGCCCAGACUCCUACGGGGGGCAGCAGUAGGGAAUCUUCGGCAAUGGACGAAAGUCUGACCGAGCAACGCCGCGUGAGUGAAGAAGGUUUUCGGAUCGUAAAGCUCUGUUGUAAGAGAAGAACGGGUGUGAGAGUGGAAAGUUCACACUGUGACGGUAUCUUACCAGAAAGGGACGGCUAACUACGUG
rnacentral:rRNA from 1 species